GUCAACUUUUCCCCGGCGACCCCUCUCACUCAAGUGCUCCCGGAGAAGAUUGCUCAAAUUGUCGACUUGGAGAAUGAUUUGACGCUGCGCCCGUGCUAUGUUUUGUAUCUCUUCCAGAAAGGGAGAUUCCUUGGCCAAUUGGGAGGAUGAUGAAGAAUGAGGCAGUAGCGAUCCGGUUAAGGCACCGUUACUCAAGCCAGAUAUGAAAAUUGAAGUUGCU
rnacentral:misc_RNA from 1 species